UUUUAUUUAGUUGUCUCAUUUUUAUUUUUAUUUUAAUGAUUGAUAAUUCUAAUAAAAAUAAUGACUAUGUAAUAACCAACCAAUAUAACUAUUUUUAGUCCUUAUGCAUACUAACUCAAAAAAUAUUUUUUAUAUACUUUUGAAUGUUCUAAUGUGGUUUAAUUAAGCCUUACUGAAAGUUAAGUAGGUUUACCGUAACUGACUGUGAC
rnacentral:lncRNA from 1 species